GGCAGCCAGUCAAUGUUCUCUCUCAUUGAUGUUUCUAUCUCUCUCACCCUUUCCCUUCUUCUCUCUCUAAAAUCAGUAAAGAAACAAAAAUUUAUAAACUUCAGGUCUAAAGAGAAUGCACACAGGAGGAGUUCUGAACUGGACAUUAAGGAAUGUGAAUUUUAUCAUUAGGAAUCUAAAAGUUAGAGUGAGAGGACCCUGAAAUGAAAAAACAAAGCAAAACACGCUUAUGUUCAUGCUGAAAAGUGAACAUCUCAGAAUAGACUUAUGCUUUCUCAGCCUUGUCUUCAUUUCUUGGCUGCAGUCUCCAUUGGAAUUGAUGACUGAACCAAGCCUGAUUGCUUUUUGUUAGGAGGGUCUCAGAAGAUAUGAGUAUGGGAAGAAUAAAGUGAAACAGCCCAAGAAUAUGAGAAUAGGAAUAUGGAUACUUUUAGUAUUCCAGGCAUUGAAAAUCUACCUCCUGCAGCCCACCCACCAGAUAUCUGAUGUGCCGAAGAGGGUGAAGAGACCAAAUCAAGACUGUAGGAGAUGAAUUGGGGAUUUGCUAGCAGUAAGAUCCCCCCCAGUAUGUAUUAUUCUUUAGAACUUGAUGUUCGAUAUUGAAGAUCAAAUCUAUUGUAUCUCCAGCAUGCAACUCAUAAGUCCCUCCUACAUUUUGGGUUUUAGUAUUGUUUGUAUGAUGCCUUCAUUUUUACAUAGCUGCACCUCAAAAGGAGUUGCUUCCUGGUAGGUUGUAUUGGGAGCCACUUGGCCAUAAAUUGAGUACAAGCCAUCCUGAAGUAUCUUCAGCUUCCAGUCAGCUACCUGACUCACACAACGAGGCUCAAGAGAUGCUAUUUUUCAUUUUGAAGAUAAUGGUCCAAACUUGGUUACACAGUGCUCACUGAUAGUCUUGAGUGACAGAAGAGUGAAGGCAACUGUGCUGAAGGAAACAGGCAAAUAGCACACUAACUAACAUUGAGAAGAUCCAUGGCUUCCAGCAUGAUCCCUGUGUCUCUGAAAGGCUUGCAUGGUAUAAAGGUGUAAUCUCCAUGAUCUCAAACUCAUUCUUUAGAAAGUAUUGCGGUGCUAUUUCUGGUCCAAGAUGGUGACAUAGGAGGCUCCUGAAUUCACCUCCUCCCAUAAGCACUUUAACAGUUCCACACAAAGAAACAAUUCCCUCAAAAAGAAAUCCAGAAACUGGCUGAGCAACUUGUACUCAUUGGGUGGGUAGAACCAAAGACAUAAUGUCCUCUGCCAGCAUGUCUGUCUUGGAGAAAGCUGUCCCUCCAGAUCUCACCAGUGCCAAACAACUCAGUUCUUCCCCAUAUGUCUCUGGUGCCUUUCAAGCUGCCUCCCCUGCUCUGGAUCCUGGAGGUAGCUAGUCCUAGUAAGUCUAUGUGCUGGCCUUUUAAAAGGAGCUGCCUGGGACUCCAGCAGCCUCAGCUUCCCACUGCUUUUUACAGCCAAAAGUUAUGGGGACUUCCCUUCCUGGCACUGAAACCCUGAGCUGGGGGCCAAGUGUGGGAUGAUGACCCCUGACUCCUCAGGGAGGAACUUCACAGCUGAGGUAUCCGCCACAUGUGGGUGUGGGACCAGCCUGUCCGCGCCUCCACCCCUCCUAACCUCCUACCAUUCUCGAUGUGGCUUCUUUAAUUCCAUAGUUGUAGGAUUUCCAUUCAGCUGGAUGUUAGGGGCUUCUGAAUGAUGGUUCCGUAGUUUAGUUAUAAUUUUGAUGUGGUUGUGGGAAGAGGCCAGUACCACAUUUCCCUUUGCUGCCAUCUUGACCGGAAGUCAAAGUAGAAAUAUUUCGAUUAACAGGUUGCUCCAUCUCUGUAUUUUGUAUGACUCAGGUCUUUGAAGAUAAUAAGAGUUCUAUCACACAUAGGAACUUCCACAUAUGCUGUUUCCUUUUAGAAUACUAUGUCCUCCAGCACCUUUUACCUAGUUAAUUCUUAUUUUUUCAGGCUUCAAAUUAGAAGUUACUUCUUCUAACCUCCCAGUCCCUAGUGUAGGUUUUUUAGCACAUCUAUAUUGCAUAAAUCCUUUAUGGUGAGUAUCUUGUAGUGUCCAAAACUGAGCUGCUCAUUUUCUAUCAAACUUGCUUUUUUCCACAGUCCUUUGCAUUUUGUUAAAUAGAAUUUGCAGCCUCCCAUUCGCUCUGACUAAUACUCUCAAGUCUCCUAACUGGUCUUUCUGCUUUCCCACUUUCACUCUUUAGUUUAUUCUCAAUGUAGCAAUCAUAUCAAGUCACUCCUUUGCUUCAUAAGUCUUUACAAAGGCCCAUGGGGCCCUGUGUGGUUUUUUAUUCCCUCCUUUGUUAUCUGUGACCUUAAGCCUCUGAUGCUUUAGCCACACUGAACUCUUUGUAGUUCCUUGAGCAUUUUAGGCACAUUCUUGCCUCGCAGUCUGUUUUUGCUCUUCCUUUUCACUGGAUAUUUCAGAUAUUUUCUAUCAUUUAGGUAGUUUGAAAAUUACAUGUAAAAUGGGUGAUUAAGAAUAAUUACUAGUAAGUAAUAACAUUGAAUGAAUUAAAAUGAUAUAAGCAGAAGGAUUACAAUGAUUUCCAUGGCACUGUGGUUCUCAGAGCAGUAACAGAUUGUUUAAAUGCUUGGUUUCUCAUAAAUAUUUUCUACUGCCAGAGGACUAAAUAUCUAAUCUUAAAGACUAAAACCAGUGCAGUUAUUUAGGGUUUGUAAAGGGCUGUUAUUUAUUUUAUUUUAUUUUUUUCACAAAAAAUGAAAAUAUACUU